rnacentral:rRNA from 1 species
UACGUAGGGUGCAAGCGUUGUCCGGAAUUAUUGGGCGUAAAGAGCUCGUAGGCGGUUUGUCGCGUCUGCUGUGAAAACUCAGGGCUUAACCCUGAGCUUGCAGUGGGUACGGGCAGACUAGAGUGCGGUAGGGGAGACUGGAAUUCCUGGUGUAGCGGUGAAAUGCGCAGAUAUCAGGAGGAACACCGGUGGGCGAAGGCGGGUC